GUCGAGAAUCUUUCACAAUGGGGGCAACCCUGAUGGAGCGACGCCGCGUGGAGGAUGAAGGCCCUCGGGUUGUAAACUCCUGUCAUGCGGGAACAAGAAAGUGAUAGUACCGCAAGAGGAAGAGACGGCUAACUCUGUGCCAGCAGCCGCGGUAAUACAGAGGUCUCAAGCGUUGUUCGGAUUCAUUGGGCGUAAAGGGUGCGUAGGUGGCGAUGCAAGUCUGGUGUGAAAUCUCGGAGCUCAACUCCGAAAUUGCAGCGGAUACUGCGUUGCUAGAGGAUUGUAGAGGAGAGUGGAAUUCACGGUGUAGCAGUGAAAUGCGUAGAUAUCGUGAGGAAGACCAGUUGCGAAGGCGACUCUCUGGGCAAUUCCUGACACUGAGGCACGAAGGCCAGGGGAGCAAACGGGAUUAGAUACCCCAGUAGUCC
rnacentral:rRNA from 1 species